GAUGAACGCUAGCGGGAGGCUUAACACAUGCAAGCCGAGGGGUAUAUUUCUUUCGGGAGAUAGAGACCGGCGCACGGGUGCGUAACGCGUAUGCAACUUGCCCUACUGAAAAGGAUAGCCCUUCGAAAGGAGGAUUAAUACUUUAUAAUAGAAAUCAUGGCAUCAUGAAUUUUUGAAAGAUUUAUCGCAGUAGGAUAGGCAUGCGUAAGAUUAGUUAGUUGGUGAGGUGACGGCUCACCAAGACGAUGAUCUUUAGGGGGCCUGAGAGGGUGAACCCCCACACUGGUACUGAGACACGGACCAGACUCCUACGGGAGGCAGCAGUGAGGAAUAUUGGACAAUGGGUGGAAGCCUGAUCCAGCCAUCCCGCGUGUAGGAUGACGGCCUUAUGGGUUGUAAACUACUUUUAUCUGGGGAUAAACCUACUCACGUGUGAGUAGCUGAGGGUACCAGAAGAAUAAGCACCGGCUAACUCCGUGCCAGCAGCCGCCGCGGUAA
rnacentral:rRNA from 1 species